GGAUCCAGACUUUGAUAUGGCUCAGGACGAACGCUGGCGGCGCGCCUAACACAUGCAAGUCGAACGAGAGAUGAAGAGCUUGCCCUUCAAAUCGAGUGGCGAACGGGUGAGUAACGCGUGAGGAACCUGCCUCAAAGAGGGGGACAACAGUUGGAAACGACUGCUAAUACCGCAUAAGCCCACGGCUCGGCAUCGAGCAGAGGGAAAAGGAGCAAUCCGCUUUGAGAUGGCCUCGCGUCCGAUUAGCUAGUUGGUGAGGUAAUGGCCCACCAAGGCGACGAUCGGUAGCCGGACUGAGAGGUUGAACGGCCACAUUGGGACUGAGACACGGCCCAGACUCCUACGGGAGGCAGCAGUGGGGAAUAUUGCACAAUGGGGGAAACCCUGAUGCAGCGACGCCGCGUGGAGGAAGAAGGUCUUCGGAUUGUAAACUCCUGUUGUUGAGGAAGAUAAUGACGGUACUCAACAAGGAAGUGACGGCUAACUACGUGCCAGCAGCCGCGGUAAAACGUAGGUCACAAGCGUUGUCCGGGAUUACUGGGUGUAAAGGGAGCGCAGGCGGGAGAACAAGUUGGAAGUGAAAUCCAUGGGCUCAACCCAUGAACUGCUUUCAAAACUGUUUUUCUUGAGUAGUGCAGAGGUAGGCGGAAUUCCCGGUGUAGCGGUGGAAUGCGUAGAUAUCGGGAGGAACACCAGUGGCGAAGGCGGCCUACUGGGCACCAACUGACGCUGAGGCUCGAAAGUGUGGGUAGCAAACAGGAUUAGAUACCCUGGUAGUCCACACCGUAAACGAUGAUUACUAGGUGUUGGAGGAUUGACCCCUUCAGUGCCGCAGUUAACACAAUAAGUAAUCCACCUGGGGAGUACGACCGCAAGGUUGCAACU
rnacentral:rRNA from 1 species